UCUAGGAAGAGAAACCAUCGAGAUGAUGAAGAUAGUUUUCGUAGAGGGAUUUCCAGAAGGAUACAUUGAAUGAGGAGGAAAAAAGGAGGGGGUUUCUCGGAUACAUUGAUCUAUAAAUCUGGAAGAAGAAGAGGUGGAGAAGAAGACCCAGCAGCAACAAUAACCACAACAACAAGGAGGUUACUAGGAACAGCAACAGAAGAAGAUCAUCGUCCAAAUCCUCUGCUCCUCUGCUCGAGUUGGUCUGUUUGUCGAGGGAGGAAUCCAAGUUCUAAUAAUAACCAAUCUUGGUCGAAAUCUACAAGGGAUUCUAAAAGUGGGUCUUGAAGAAAAUCGAUGUCAAUGCUAUAGGAUAUCGUUACUGUUUUGUUGAACUUCAGAAGUUGGAGAAACUUCAGGAAGAGGAUCUUGUUGAAAGGUCGUUCAAGAAGAAACAAAUCAAGAUCAGGUUUCCUGAAUGGGGAAGAAGUGGGAGAUUUGCUCCAUUUGGAGGUAAGGUGUUGUUUAGCAGAGCAAAUCUCACAAUUGAAAAAGGAGAGAAACUGGCCAUUAUUGGCCCAAAUGGAUGUGGCAAGAGUACUUUGCUGAAACUAAUAAUGGGUUUACAAAAGCCAAUAGCAGGUGAAGUUCUGCUUGGGGAGCAUAAUGUCCUAACAAACUUUUUUGAGC